rnacentral:rRNA from 1 species
GACGAACGCUGGCGGCGCGCUUAACACAUGCAAGUCGAACGGAAAGGCCUGCUUUCCCUUGUGGAUUGCGGGUACUCGAGUGGCGAACGGGUGAGUAACACGUGAGUGAUCUGCCCCCAACUUGGGGAUAAGCCUGGGAAACUGGGUCUAAUUCCCGAUAGGACUGCAGUGUGGUGCCUGUGGUGGAAAACGAUUUUCUAGUGGUUGGGGAUGAGCUCGCGGCCUAUCAGCUUGUUGGUGGGGUAAUGGCCUACCAAUGCGGCGACGGGUAGCCGGCCCGGGAGGGUGGACGGCGACAUUGGGCCUGGGAUACGGCCCAGAGGCCGACGGGAGGCAGCAGUGGGGAAUAAUGCACAAUGGGCGGAAGCCUGAUGCAGCGACGCCGGGUGGGGGAUGACGGCCUUCGGGUUGUAGACUCCUUUCGAGCGCGAGGAAGCCACCUGGUUGGAAGGGUGGUGACGGUAGUGGUAGAAGAAGCACCGGCUAACUACGUG